UGUGUCCUAUGGGAGGCAGCAGUGGGGAAUAUUGCACAAUGGGGGUAACCCUGAUGCAGCGACGCCGCGUGAGUGAGGAAGUAUUUCGGUAUGUAAAGCUCUAUCAGCAGGGAAGAAAAUGACGGUACCUGACUAAGAAGCCCCGGCUAACUACGUGCCAGCAGCCGCGGUAAUACGUAGGGGGCAAGCGUUAUCCGGAUUUACUGGGUGUAAAGGGAGCGUAGACGGAAUUGCAAGUCUGAUGUGAAAAUCCGGGACCCAACCACGGAACUGCAUUGG
rnacentral:rRNA from 1 species